GCCUGGGAUGGCUCAGUCAACAGAGAGUGAGACUCUCAAUCUCAGGAUCGUGGGUUUGAGCUCCAGGCUGAGCA